UACGGGGGGGGCAAGCGUUGUUCGGAACUACUGGGCGUAAAGGGCUCGUAGGCGGCCAACUAAGUCAGACGUGAAAUCCCCAGGCUCAACCUGGGAACUGCGUCUGAUACUGGAUGGCUUGAAUCCGGGAGAGGGAUGCAGAAUUCCAGGUGUAGCGGUGAAAUGCGUAGAUAUCUGGAGGAAUACCGGUGGCGAAGGCGGCAUCCUGGACCGGCAUUGACGCUGAGGAGCGAAAGCUAGGGGAGCAAACGGG
rnacentral:rRNA from 1 species